GUGGGGAAUAUUGGACAAUGGGCGAAAGCCUGAUCCAGCCAUGCCGCGUGUGUGAAGAAGGUCUUCGGAUUGUAAAGCACUUUAAGUUGGGAGGAAGGGUAGUAACCUAAUACGUUGCUACUUUGACGUUACCGACAGAAUAAGCACCGGCUAACUUCGUGCCAGCAGCCGCGGUAAUACGAGGGGUGCAAGCGUUAAUCGGAAUUACUGGGCGUAAAGCGCGCGUAGGUGGUUCAGUAAGUUGGAAGUGAAAUCCCCGGGCUCAACCUGGGAACUGCUUUCAAAACUGCUGAGCUAGAGUACGGUAGAGGGUGGUGGAAUUUCCUGUGUAGCGGUGAAAUGCGUAGAUAUAGGAAGGAACACCAGUGGCGAAGGCGACCACCUGGACUGAUACUGACACUGAGGUGCGAAAGCGUGGGGAGCAAACAGGAUUAGAUACCCGUGUAGUCC
rnacentral:rRNA from 1 species